rnacentral:rRNA from 1 species
GACGAACGCUGGCGGCGUGCCUAAUACAUGCAAGUCGAACGCAGUGGGGACGGGUGAGUAACACGUGGGUAACCUCCCCAUCAGAGGGGAUAACCCUUGGAAACAGGUGCUAACCCGAUACUGAUGGAUGGACCCGCGUUGGAUUAGCUCGUUGGUGAGUUAACGGCUCACCACGGCCACGAUGCAUAGCCGACCUGAGAGGGGCAUCGGCCACACUGGGACUGAGACACGGCCCAGACUCCUACGGGAGGCAGCAGUAGGGAAUCUUCGGCAAUGGACGAAAGUCUGACCGAGCAACGCCGCGUGAGUGAAGAAGGUUUUCGGAUCGGAAAACUCGGUUGUUAGAGAAGCGGUAUCUAACCAGAAAGCCACGGCUAACUACGUGCCAGCAGCCGCGGUAAUUC